CCGGGCAGUUCAUUUUGGCUCAGUCUGAGGAGAGGUGUCUUAUGAUGCACGUGACGUCUUCGUUUUUAUAUUUUUCUUCUGGGAUGAAUAGCUAUUGCCCGGUUGUAAAAUUAUCGCAAUUUUACGUUAAAAAAUACCCUAAAGGAUUGAUUGUAAACAUCGUUUGACGUGUUUCUACAAACGGUAAUGGAACUUUGAACAUUUCGUCUAUGGAUUUGCAUCCACGCCACAUGGCAUUGUAAAGUGUUCUGGAUGGGUCAACAAAACGGACGUAUUUGGACAUAAAUGAUGGACUUUGCAGAACAAAUGAACAUUUCUUGUGGAAGUGGGUGCCCAUCCGAGUGCAUUCCGCCGAAGAUCAGCAAAGUCCCAGGAGACCAGCAUACAUGCACAUCCCCUGAGGGGAGAGAGAGCCCUGCUCGGCUGAGUGUCCUUCCUAACACUAAGUCAGAGAGCUUGAUCCUCCCUGGACUGUUGUGAAUUCCAGAACCAGG
rnacentral:lncRNA from 1 species